rnacentral:rRNA from 1 species
UUACCGAGUUUACAACUCCCAAACCCCUGUGAACAUACCACUUGUUGCCUCGGCGGAUCAGCCCGCUCCCGGUAAAACGGGACGGCCCGCCAGAGGACCCCUAAACUCUGUUUCUAUAUGUAACUUCUGAGUAAAACCAUAAAUAAAUCAAAACUUUCAACAACGGAUCUCUUGGUUCUGGCAUCGAUGAAGAACGCAGCAAAAUGCGAUAAGUAAUGUGAAUUGCAGAAUUCAGUGAAUCAUCGAAUCUUUGAACGCACAUUGCGCCCGCCAGUAUUCUGGCGGGCAUGCCUGUUCGAGCGUCAUUUCAACCCUCAAGCACAGCUUGGUGUUGGGACUCGCGUUAAUUCGCGUUCCUCAAAUUGAUUGGCGGUCACGUCGAGCUUCCAUAGCGUAGUAGUAAAACCCUCGUUACUGGUAAUCGUCGCGGCCACGCCGUUAAACCCCAACUUCUGAAUGUUGACCUCGGAUCAGGUAGGAAUACCCGCUGAACUUAAGCAUAUCAAUAAGCGGAGGAAAAGAAACCAACAGGGAUUGCCCUAGUAACGGCGAGUGAAGCGGCAACAGCUCAAAUUUGAAAUCUGGCUCUCGGGCCCGAGUUGUAAUUUGUAGAGGAUACUUUUGAUGCGGUGCCUUCCGAGUUCCCUGGAACGGGACGCCAUAGAGGGUGAGAGCCCCGUCUGGUUGGAUGCCAAAUCUCUGUAAAGUUCCUUCAACGAGUCGAGUAGUUUGGGAAUGCUGCUCUAAAUGGAGGUAUAUGUCUUCUAAAGCU